UACGAAGGGUGCAAGCGUUACUCGGAAUUACUGGGCGUAAAGCGUGCGUAGGUGGUUUGUUAAGUCUGUUGUGAAAGCCCCGGGCUCAACCUGGGAAUGGCAAUGGAUACUGGCAAGCUAGAGUGCGGUAGAGGGUAGUGGAAUUCCCGGUGUAGCGGUGAAAUGCGUAGAGAUGCGGAGGAACACCGAUGGCGAAGGCAGCCCCCUGGGUCGACACUGACGCUCAGGCACGAAAGCGUGGGGAGCAAACAGG
rnacentral:rRNA from 1 species